rnacentral:rRNA from 1 species
UUGGAGAGUUUGAUCCUGGCUCAGGACGAACGCUGGCGGCGUGCUUAACACAUGCAAGUCGAACGAAGAGCGAUGGAAGCUUGCUUCUAUCAAUCUUAGUGGCGAACGGGUGAGUAACGCGUAAUCAACCUGCCCUUCAGAGGGGGACAACAGUUGGAAACGACUGCUAAUACCGCAUACGAUCCAACCUCGGCAUCGAGGAUGGAUGAAAGGUGGCCUCUAUUUAUAAGCUAUCACUGAAGGAGGGGAUUGCGUCUGAUUAGCUAGUUGGAGGGGUAACGGCCCACCAAGGCAAUGAUCAGUAGCCGGUCUGAGAGGAUGAACGGCCACAUUGGGACUGAGACACGGCCCAGACUCCUACGGGGGGCAGCAGUGGGGAAUCUUCCGCAAUGGACGAAAGUCUGACGGAGCAACGCCGCGUGAGUGAUGACGGCCUUCGGGUUGUAAAGCU